rnacentral:rRNA from 1 species
GUCCACGCCGUAAACGAUGGGUACUAGCUGUCGGAGGGUCUUACCCUUUCGGUGGCGCAGCUAACGCAUUAAGUACCCCGCCUGGGGAUUACGGUCGCAAGACUAAAACUCAAAGAAAUUGACGGGGCCCGCACAAGCAGUGGAGUAUGUGGUUCAAUUCGAUGCAACGCGAAGAACCUUAUCCUGGGCUUGACAUCCGGUGCUACUCUAUGAAAGUAGAGGUUCCCUUCGGGGACGCCGAGACAGGUGUUGCAUGGCUGUCGU